GGCUUCAUGGUCUAGUGGUAUGAUUCCUGCUUCGGGCACAAAACCGGAGUCCUCGGUUCAUUAGAAUCGGCUUGCAGGAGGCCCCGGGUUCGAACCCCGGUGAAGCCC